CAGGUUAAUCUUAAGAUAAGGAUUUCAUUUACACUGAAUUAUUGGUUGUUCAAUUCAACAUAAUCUGA
rnacentral:tRNA from 1 species